AGCACUAAAACUUAUGUUCUCUCC
rnacentral:siRNA from 1 species